GCUUUUCCGCAAUCCCUAAAUCUCCAAUGCUACUGGAACUCCUCCUUUUCCUCGUCCUCCUCUAUCGACUUCAUCGGAUCAGGUCACUGAGCUUGGUCGACGGCUUAUGGUCCAACGCCCUCUUUCAACCAUAGGAGCUAGCAGCCAUCUUCUCACAAGCCGGCCAACAACUCAACAGUGAGAACAACAGCAAGAUCCAUCACUGCAAAAUUUUCUUGUGCAGUGGGAUGUUCCAGCUUGGCUGGAGAGAUGAAGAUAAGUGGAGCGUGAUUUUGGUUUGUCCAUGGAACUUCAGGGAAGAAGAAAAAAAACAACUCUAAAUUGAGCUUGGCAUGGGAGGUAUUGGAAAGAUUUCGAGGCAAGGAAUUUGUUGCAGGCAUAUUGGAUCUGAUUUACCACCGAUAUGUUGCCGCUAUAAUGUAAGAUUCUAUUGCCUCGUCUACAAUAUUAUUUAUUUCAAUCCAUGAGUUGGUGUGAGUGAUGAAUAUUUUCAUUCUUAAUACUUAUGGAUUGUGUUUUUAUUUUUACACUAAUUAAUAUUUUAAUUAGUUAGUUAUGUAUGUAUUUGUAUUAUAAUAUUUACAUUAUAAUGUAUUUGACAUGUGUAAGA